AGUUCUCGGGGCGGGGUGAGAUUCCCCACCGGCGGUAAUUGGGUCUUGGCCCAUCAGCCCGCGAGCGCCUUUUGCGUAUGUGAAAGGGUCAGCAGAUCAGGUGUAAUCCCUGAGCCGACGGUCAUAGUCCGGAUGAGAGAGAGC
rnacentral:ncRNA from 1 species